CCCUGGUAGUCCACGCCGUAAACGAUGAGUGCUAAGUGUUAGAGGGUUUCCGCCCUUUAGUGCUGCAGCUAACGCAUUAAGCACUCCGCCUGGGGAGUACGACCGCAAGGUUGAAACUCAAAGGAAUUGACGGGGGCCCGCACAAGCGGUGGAGCAUGUGGUUUAAUUCGAAGCAACGCGAAGAACCUUACCAGGUCUUGACAUCCUCUGACCUCCCUAGAGAUAGGGCCUUCCCCUUCGGGGGACAGAGUGACAGGUGGUGCAUGGUUGUCGUCAGCUCGUGUCGUGAGAUGUUGGGUUAAGUCCCGCAACGAGCGCAACCCUUGACCUUAGUUGCCAGCAUUCAGUUGGGCACUCUAAGGUGACUGCCGGUGACAAACCGGAGGAAGGUGGGGAUGACGUCAAAUCAUCAUGCCCCUUAUGACCUGGGCUACACACGUGCUACAAUGGAUGGUACAAAGGGCUGCGAGACCGCGAGGUUAAGCCAAUCCCAUAAAACCAUU
rnacentral:rRNA from 2 species